CCUGGACCUGGACCACGAGAGUCGCACCACCCUGAAAGUGGCGCCUGUCGGGCGGUGGAGAGUAUUUAAGAAUGUUAUCUCCAGUGCACAGAUGUCUUAAAGGUCCUCCUGGAAUAGGCCUGCAAUUUUCCCUCCUAAUUAAAAAUUAAUUAAAUCGGCUGUGGCUCUAGCCAGGCAUAAAGCUGAGGGCCAUGGCCACCACCACCACCACUGGAAACACAAUCAUUUAUUUAACUCAAUUACAGGAAGCCACGGCAGACUCCUCCGCCUGUGAUGUCACCGGGAGAGUCGCGAGAGGCUUUACGAAAAAAUCUGACCGAGCGAUCCUCCGAUCGGUGCGAUCGUCUCGUUCAGUGGAAAUCUGAACGGCCGACGCACGUGGACGUCCCUGGUCCUCGGUUGUGAUUAAUUUACACAUGGUCAUGGAGAUAUCCUCUGUCACCUGGUUUCCCUCCACCCCUCCCUCGGGGCUGAUUUGAGGUGAUUGAUCAGAGAUUCAGACACAGGAUCAAUAAUGCUCUCACCUCUCCCUUGGCAAGAGCGAGGCGCUCGGUGAUGGCCCACUGUGCUGUCCAAUUAUUCAGUAAUAGAGAACUGGAAGCUGCCCAAGACAAUUAACAGGCUGUGGACUUAGGGGAGUGAUUAGAAAUGCUAAUUGUUGGGUUCCAUUGUAAACUGUGACAACAAUACCCUAAUUCUACCUUCUUUCAGUGUUAGUGCAGGAGUGAAACACCAGCGUUUCAGCAGAGCAGAUAAUUACCCCUGACCUAAGGAGAGAGUUUACAUAAUGCACAACAACUGUUUUUUUUUUUCUUUUUCUUUUUCCUUCUUACUCCCUGAUCUGCAGCAGAGAUUAAAAAAGUUAGAGGGCGUCAAAGUGUACAGCAAUAAUUAACUUGAGAAAUUGAUCGGCACGUAAUCUAUAUCUAUUAAUAACAGUGGUCUUAACGUUCAUUGUCAUUUACACGCACUGUUGGGAAGAAAAAAGGGUUUAAAUUCACGAAUCAUCUCAGGUUUAUCAACCUGUUCAUGGCUGAAUAUGACUAUUUUGCUACAAAUGGUAACGUUUGGUUUCCAUAAACGCGUGUUUCUCAAUAAAUAUAGUGGAAUGUAAGGUUUGGAAUUUCGGAAAAUACUAAAAUGUCCGAGGUUUAUUUGGUGUCUUUGAAUGUCUCGUGCCGUUUCUGCUGUUUAUUUUGGUAAUCAUUGGUUGUUAGCCAAUUAGCAGAUGUUACAGAUGACCGUUAAUCGCGUAUCGGAUUCUGCGAGGGAGUGGGCGACUGAAGAGAGAGAAGACGGACGUGGAUAAAAGUACGACGGUUAGCUAGUUAGCUAGCAGCUAUCGGUACCCGGAAGACAGAGUCUGCGUGGGUGUUGAAGAUGUAUCUUUACUGAUUUGCCUCAAAGCCUACAUCCUGAAGGGGGCGCUCCGAUUAUGACAGCCGUUCUUGUUGUACACAGAUGUAUCUCCAGGACCGGUUUCUCCAUCUCGUCGCACGGUUUCCGCGAAACAGAGGGUUGGAGGAAACGUCUGCGAAUCUUGGCUAAACGUGGCUGUUUUACCGAGGAUCGAAAAUAAAGAUGGUGUCGCAGAGAGUAGCCGUCCACGUAGAGCAGGCGGACUGUAUCUGCAUUAAAGAACAUUUCCAAGAACCCCCACCACCACCAUCACCAUCACCAUCACCCCCGCGGCACC